GAUGAACGCUGGCGGCGUGCCUAAUACAUGCAAGUCGAGCGAACAGAUAAGGAGCUUGCUCCUUUGACGUUAGCGGCGGACGGGUGAGUAACACGUGGGUAACCUAUCUAUAAGACUGGAAUAACUCCGGGAAACCGGGGCUAAUGCCGGAUAACAUGUUGAACCGCAUGGUUCUACAGUGAAAGGCGGCUUUGCUGUCACUUUUAGAUGGACCCGCGCCGUAUUAGCUAGUUGGUGAGGUAACGGCUCACCAAGGCAACGAUACGUAGCCGACCUGAGAGGGUGAUCGGCCACACUGGAACUGAGACACGGUCCAGACUCCUACGGGAGGCAGCAGUAGGGAAUCUUCCGCAAUGGGCGAAAGCCUGACGGAGCAACGCCGCGUGAGUGAUGAAGGUCUUCGGAUCGUAAAACUCUGUUAUUAGGGAAGAACAAAUGCGUAAGUAACUGUGCGCGUCUUGACGGUACCUAAUCAGAAAGCCACGGCUAACUACGUG
rnacentral:rRNA from 1 species